rnacentral:rRNA from 1 species
CUGGAGGUAUCAGAAGUGCGAAUGCUGACAUAAGUAACGAUAAAGCGGGUGAAAAGCCCGCUCGCCGGAAGACCAAGGGUUCCUGUCCAACGUUAAUCGGGGCAGGGUGAGUCGACCCCUAAGGCGAGGCCGAAAGGCGUAGUCGAUGGGAAACAGGUUAAUAUUCCUGUACUUGGUGUUACUGCGAAGGGGGGACGGAGAAGGCUAUGUUGGCCGGGCGACGGUUGUCCCGGUUUAAGCGUGUAGGCUGGUUUUCCAGGCAAAUCCGGAAAAUCAAGGCUGAGGCGUGAUGACGAGGCACUACGGUGCUGAAGCAACAAAUGCCCUGCUUCCAGGAAAAGCCUCUAAGCAUCAGGUAACAUCAAAUCGUACCCCAAACCGACACAGGUGGUCAGGUAGAGAAUACCAAGGCGCUUGAGAGAACUCGGGUGAAGGAACUAGGCAAAAUGGUGCCGUAACUUCGGGAGAAGGCACGCUGAUAUGUAGGUGAAGUCCCUCGCGGAUGGAGCUGAAAUCAGUCGAAGAUACCAGCUGGCUGCAACUGUUUAUUAAAAACACAGCACUGUGCAAACACGAAAGUGGACGUAUACGGUGUGACGCCUGCCCGGUGCCGGAAGGUUAAUUGAUGGGGUUAGCCGCAAG